CUCUGUGACUCCUACGGGAGGCAUCAGUGGGAAUAUUGCACAAUGGGCGCAAGCCUGAUGCAGCAACGCCGCGUGAGCGAUGAAGGCCUUCGGGUCGUAAAGCUCUGUCCUCAAGGAAGAAUAAAUGACGGUACUUGAGGAGGAAGCCCCCGGCUAACUACGUGCCAGCAGCCGCGGUAAUACGGUAGGGGCAAGCGUUAUCCGGAAUCACUGGGCGUAAAGGGGUGCGUAGGUCGGUUUUCAAGUCAGAAGUAGAAAGGCUAUGGCUCAACCAUAGUAAGUCUUUUAGAAACUAGUUAAACUUGAGUGCAGGAGAGGAAAGUGGAAUUCCUAGUGUAGAGGUGAAAUUCGUAGAUAUUAGGAGGAACACCAGUGGCGAAGGCGACUUUCUGGACUGUAACUGACGCUGAGGCACGAAAGCGUGGGGAGCGAACAGGAUUAGAUACCCUGGGAG
rnacentral:rRNA from 1 species